rnacentral:rRNA from 1 species
CGCCUUGCCAGCCCGCUCAGAAACUUAAAUGAAUUGACGGGGCCCGCACAAGCGGAGGAGCAUGUGGUUUAAUUCGAUGAUACGCGAGGAACCUUACCUGGGCUCGAACGUAAGAUGACUGUAGGUGAAAGCUUACAUCUCUUCGGAGCAUUUUACGAGGUGCUGCAUGGUUGUCGUCAGCUCGUGCCGUGAGGUGUCGGGUUAAGUCCCAUAACGAGCGCAACCCCUACCUUUAGUUGCCAUCAGGUUAAGCUGGGGACUCUAAAGGAACUGCCUACGCAAGUAGUGAGGAAGGCGGGGAUGACGUCAAAUCAGCACGGCCCUUACGUCCAGGGCUACACACGUGCUACAAUGGCCGAUACAGAGGGCAGCUACCUGGUGACAGGAUGCAAAUCUCCAAAGUCGGUCUCAGUUCGGAUCGGAGUCUGCAACCCGACUCCGUGAAGUUGGAUUCGCUAGUAAUCGCGCAUCAGCCAUGGCGCGGUGAAUACGUUCCCGGGCCUU